AUUGGGUACGUAAAAUUUGGGUACGAAAAACAUUUGGGUACGAAAAUAAUGGGCACGAAUUUUUUUUUAGGUACGAACAAAUUUGGGUACGAAAAACAUUUGGGUACGACAAAAAUGAUUACGAAAAUCGAAAAAUUGGGGUAUGAAAAAUCUAAUUUGAAUUGUCUAGCCCGUCAAUUGUCUCCUGGGGGUGAAUUGUCUUGGGGUUGCUAUUAAGGCUACAUGUACUUCCGGCCAAGCCACAUGUUUAUAGCGAUUGUGCAAUAAAAAACACCACUUUUUCGUGAUUUAAUCAAAAACUAGAUUUUUCCCAGUAAUAGCGAAUACGCCAACAGGUAGAUCGCGUUAUAUGUACAGUUAAUGGAAAAUUUCAUAGGGCCAUACAUUGUAACUCUGUGAAAAAUCAUCUGACCAGAACCGGCUGAUAAUAUGCAUGUCUCCUCUUGGUAGUGAAGCUUCCCAUUAAGUUAAAUUGAAUUCCAGUCAUUAGUUGCUGAGAAAUAGCCCGACAAAAAUUAUGCACGGACGGACAGACGAAGCGGCGACUAUAUGCUACCCCCUUAAAAAAUUUGAGGACAGCAUAAUAAAAAAGUUGUGGCAAUUUAAAGGUGGUACGCAAA